GGUCUUAUAUUCAAAAGAUGAUAUAAAAUUGCAAAUUUUAAGUUGUAAUAAUUACUAAGGCUU
rnacentral:tRNA from 1 species